GUCAGUGAUGAAAAUGUUGAAUAGGAAGUGCCGUCUUAUGCGACAACUGCCGAUGUUCAUGAUUCAUUUUUCUGAGU